GACGAACGCUGGCGGCGUGCCUAAUACAUGCAAGUAGAACGCUGAAGAGAGGAGCUUGCUCUUCUUGGAUGAGUUGCGAACGGGUGAGUAACGCGUAGGUAACCUGCCUUGUAGCGUGGGAUAACUAUUGGAAACGAUAGCUAAUACCGCAUAACAAUUGAUGACACAUGUCAUUUAUUUGAAAGGGGCAUUUGCUCCACUUCAAGAUGGACCUGCGUUGUAUUAGCUUGUUGGUGAGGUUACGGCUAACCUAGGCGACGAUACAUAGCCGACCCUAGAGGGGGAUCGGCCACACUGGGACUGAGAAAAGGGCCAGAAUCCUAAGGGAGGGAGCAGUAAGGAAACUUCGGCAAUGGGGGGAACCCUGACCGAGGAACGCCGCGUGAGUGAAGAAGGUUUUCGGAUCGUAAAGCUCUGUUGUAAGGCAAGAACGAGAGUGAGAGUGGAAAGUUCACAAUGUGACGGUAGCUUACCAGAAAGGGACGGCUAACUACGUG
rnacentral:rRNA from 1 species